rnacentral:rRNA from 1 species
GGGGAAUAUUGCGCAAUGGGGGGAACCCUGACGCAGCCAUGCCGCGUGAAUGAAGAAGGCCUUAGGGUUGUAAAGUUCUUUCGGUAUUGAGGAAGGUUGAUGUGUUAAUAGCACAUCAAAUUGACGUUAAAUACAGAAGAAGCACCGGCUAACUCCGUGCCAGCAGCCGCGGUAAUACGGAGGGUGCGAGCGCUAAUCGGAAUAACUGGGCGUAAAGGGCACGCAGGCGGUUAUUUAAGUGAGGUGUGAAAGCCCCGGGCUUAACCUGGGAAUUGCAUUUCAGACUGGGUAACUAGAGUACUUUAGGGAGGGGUAGAAUUCCACGUGUAGCGGUGAAAUGCGUAGAGAUGUGGAGGAAUACCGAAGGCGAAGGCAGCCCCUUGGGAAUGUACUGACGCUCAUGUGCGAAAGCGUGGGGAGCAAACAGGAUUAGAUACCCCGGUAGUCCACGCUGUAAACGCUGUCGAUUUGGGGGUUGGGGUUUAACUCUGGCGCCCGUAGCUAACGUGAUAAAUCGACCGCCUGGGGAGUACGGCCGCAAGGUUA